CGGCAGGAAGGAUGGAGGGCAAGGUGGCUUCCUGCCUGAGAACCCUCAAUUUCACCGAGAGCUGUUGACAAGGAGGAGCCUCGCCUUCUCCUGCCUCCCCUGUGGUCAGUGGUCAGGUCCCACUCCGUGGGGCUGGAGGGAAGGGUGAAGAAGAAAGGGUAGAAAUGGAGCAGUGAUCACGCCCAGGACCAGAGACUUUGCCCCUCAGACAGGGCUUGCAUGGGGUGCCAGACAGAGUCAGGGCUCUGUGGACCCCGAGAUGAGUACUGCCCAGCUGCCCCAAGCCCCGGACACUGCUCCUCCUGCCUAGGGCUGCACAGUCCCACAGCCAUCCUGGACGGAGGCACACCUGUGCCACUCUCAGAAAGACAGACAUGCAUCAGCAGGACACUCGGCUGGAUGCGGUCAGAGGCCAUGGUGGGUGGAGUUAUGAGUCGCCCCUCCCCCAGUUUCUCUCUUUGCGCCAGAAGCUGGGAGCCUGCCUGGUGGAGCUGAGUGGACAGUUGAUGCCACCAUUGCAUUCAGGGCCAGACAGGCUUCUAGAGAGGAAAGGGAUGAGGGGACCCUGACAACCCAUCAUCCCCAGUGAUGAGGGGACCCUGACAACCCAUCAUCCCCAGUGAUGGAGAUGUCUGUAAGCAUACAGUCUUGUCUUGUGGGCAGCAUGACUCUGCCUGAGCCAGGAGACAGAGGGAGGGAGGGGAGUCUAGACUCAGAAAUUGUGCAAUUAGCUGUUAGGUGUAGGUCCUUGGGGGGCUGUGAUGGUAUGGAGUGGAUGUGAAAACUGUGGGCCUGAGGGUCCACCCUCAGGGCUCAGCCUGGCCCAUAAUCAGCAGUCAGGCCCAGCUGGCACAGAAGGGGCAAAGGGGCAGGAUUAGGAUCAGGGUGCUGAUGAAGCCACCUGCAGCAAGUAGCAUUCAGUGAGUUGGGGACAGCUGUGGAAAAGCCAAAAGUGCCACCACUAAAAUCAGUGCAGCCUUAGGGAUGUCGUCCGGGCAUAGGUGUCACCUUAUUUGUACUCCUAAUCUGAAAAACUCUGAGAUACACUCGGUGUACGGACAUGUGUGAAACUGAGACAAUUAAUUGGAAACAAAAAUUUGAUUGAUCUGAUUUUCCAAGUAAAUAGAUUCCUGUGAUGCUGAGUAAUAAAUAGAUUCCUGUGAUGCUGAGUAACCUUGUGUUAGGCUAUACUUAUUGGUUCCAGAAAAGAGCUGGCAGCUCAUGGCCCUCGUCAAGUGACCCAGUAAUCUUGGUCAAAGGAACUAUGAAGGCGCCAGGUCAAAGAAGCCACCUAGACACUGAGCCUGGGACCACAGAGAACUACACUCUGGCCUCACGAGCAUAGCUGGGACCUGUCCCAAGUGGCCAGGAGCCAGACCCUGCAGGGUCACAAUGCAGCUCCUCACAGUCACGUGGGUAUGUCUGGUUCUCUCUGGUGGCAACUGGGCCACACGGACCCCACAGGCUGUGGUGCUGAGUCCACUGCACCCUGCUACCGCCAUCUAGUCUCACCAACACUGUGACGCUGGAGCCACCUCCAAAGGCUCUGGCUCCUCUGCACACAUUGUGCAGCCGAGCACAGGAGACCUGCUGACGUGAGCAGGCUGAAGACACAGGGCCAGUUCUCCAGGAGCCUUCCACCAAUGACCCCUCCCUGCUCUGACUGCCCACUGAGUGAGUCCAUCUCGCCCAGGUUAGAUCUGAUUUUUCCUUCAUGCCUCAUCCCACCUGAGUCCUUCUGACCCAUCCAGCACUCCUGGAGAAUGUGAACAGCCAGGUGCUGGCCGUUCUCCUGAGCCUCCCAGAAUCUUAAGCCCAGCCCAGCUAUGGCCUGGGAGCCAAGGGACGACUGGGGACACCCUUGCUCCGUGACAGCUGUUGUGGACUGAAUUAUGUUACCCACCCUCCCCACCAAAUCAGGUUUAUUACUUUCUUGGACUCCAAAAUCACUGUGGAUGGUGACCACAGCUGCAAAGUUAAAGAUGCUUGUUCCUUGAAAGGAAAGUUAUGACAAACCUAGACAGCAUAUUCAACAGAGACAUCAUAUUCAGUGGAGACAUCACUUUGCCUACAAAGGUCUGUAGCGUCUAAGCUAUGCUUUUUCUGUAGUCAUAUGCAAAUGUGAAAGUUGGACCAUGAAGAAGGCUGAAUUCAAGAAUUGAUACUUUUGAAUUGUAGUGCUGGAGAAGACUCUUGAGUCCCUUGGAGUGCAAGGAGAUCAAACUAGUCAAUCCUAAAGGAAAUCAACCCUGAAUAUUCAUUGGAUGGACUGAUGCUGAAGCUCCAAUACUUUGGCCCUGAUGCAAAGAACCAACUCAUUAGAAAAGACCCUGAUGCUAGGAAGGAUCGAAGGCAAAAGGAGAAGGUGGCAGCACAGAAUGAGAUGGUUAGAUAGCAUCACUGACUCCAUGGACAUGAACUUGAGCAAACUCUGGGAGAUAGUGAAGGACAGGGAGGUCUGGAGUGCUGCAGUCCAUGGGGUUGCAAAGAAUCUCAAAGAGUCAGAUACAACUUAGUGACUCAACUACAGCAACCCUAAUCUGUAUGUUGAAGCCCUGACCCCCAGUAUGAUGGUAUUUGGGGAUGGGACCUUUGGGAGGUACUUAGGUGUAGAUAAGGUCCUGAGGGUGGAGCCCUUGUGUUGGGAUUAGGGCUCUUAUGGGAAGAGACACGAGAAUGCUUGCUUCCUCCCCCUCCUUUCACUGAGAAAAGGCUCUUUGAGGACACAGUGAGAAGAUGGCCUUCUGCAACACAAGGAGAGAGCCUUCAGCAGACAUCAACCCUGCUGCCACCUUGAUCUUGGACUUCCAGCUGCCAGAACUGUUGUUAAAGCCACCAGGCCUGUGGUAUUCUGCUCUGGCAGCACAAGAAGGCUAAGACAACAGCCAUCUUCGGCUGACCCAGAAGCCACCCCACGUCUGGACCACGAUGUCCCUUCAGGGGGUAAGGAUGGACCCUCCCUUGGAAUAUCGGCUUGCAAGGAGCUUUUACAUGGAGAAUGCUAGUCCACAAACUACACUCGCCACUGUAUUCCUGUUGAGUCUCUCUCUCUCCGGAGACCUGUGAAGCCGAGAGUCGUUGUAUGAAUGCUAUGUAGCUGCCGCAGGAUACAAAUGACAUUUGCAGUGAGAUGACAGCCUCGUUACCACAAAUAAACAGAGUGCACGGAGGCUUGAAAUGGUUGAGACCUGGUGGGCGACUGUAGAGACUAACAGAGGUUAAAAAGCAUUCUGUUGAAAGAUAAGUGAAGAGAACAGUUGAGAGGCGCAACUGUGUGGGUGUGAGGAGAGUCUGGUGUGCAGAACAGUUAAGAGGUAGCGACAGAGGCGUUCCCACAUAGGAACCGUAUGGGGAUGGCGGUCAUACCCACAUCAGAACCCCCUCCAUCAACCCAAGAGCGUAGGCUGUGCUCUGGGCUGUCACCUUCCAGGGCGACUAUUAGACCCCACUUCUGAGGGGCAUAGAGGACUCAAAGGUCUGCAGAAAAGUGCCACAGAAGAUCUGGGAAAGGGGGGUUGGGAAUAACCCCUGAAACCUCCAUCACAGCCGCCUCUUGCUUUUUUUCACCUAGAGGCAGCUUCUCCAGUGUUCACAGAAUGCAGAGCCGUGAAUGGACAUUUGAUGGAGAGCGUAUGGCAGGCAGGUCAAGGUGGGCGCAGGAGCUUGGGGUGGAAGGACCAACAGACGUCUUUUUGCC
ensembl:lncRNA